rnacentral:rRNA from 1 species
CGGCGGACGGGUGAGUAACGCGUGGGUAACCUGCCUCAUACAGGGGGAUAACAGUUGGAAACGGCUGCUAAUACCGCAUAAGCGCACAGUACCGCAUGGUACCGUGUGAAAAACUCCGGUGGUAUGAGAUGGACCCGCGUCUGAUUAGCUAGUUGGUGGGGUAACGGCCUACCAAGGCGACGAUCAGUAGCCGACCUGAGAGGGUGACCGGCCACAUUGGGACUGAGACACGGCCCAAACUCCUACGGGAGGCAGCAUG